AUUGAACGCCGGCGGCAGGCUUAACACAUGCAAGUCGAGCGGGCGAGGUUGCUUCGGUAACUGAGCUAGCGGCGGACGGGUGAGUAAUGCUUAGGAAUCUGCCUAUUAGUGGGGGACAACAUUCCGAAAGGAAUGCUAAUACCGCAUACGCCCUACGGGGGAAAGCAGGGGAUCUUCGGACCUUGCGCUAAUAGAUGAGCCUAAGUCAGAUUAGCUAGCUGGUGGGGUAAAGGCCUACCAAGGCGACGAUCUGUAGCGGGUCUGAGAGGAUGAUCCGCCACACUGGGACUGAGACACGGCCCAGACUCCUACGGGAGGCAGCAGUGGGGAAUAUUGGACAAUGGGCGCAAGCCUGAUCCAGCCAUGCCGCGUGUGUGAAGAAGGCCUUUUGGUUGUAAAGCACUUUAAGCGAGGAGGAGGCUACUUGGAUUAAUACUCUAGGAUAGUGGACGUUACUCGCAGAAUAAGCACCGGCUAACUCUGUGCCAGCAGCCGCGGUAA
rnacentral:rRNA from 1 species